AUCAAUAAGCGGAGGAAAAGAAA
rnacentral:ncRNA from 3 species